CUCGCCCACACCACUUCCGCCAAGCCCCGCCGGCCGGCCGGCUCCGCCGCCAUAGGCCAAGGCGGCCGUUACGUCAUCCCUGGAAGGCCAGUCAGGGCGGCGGGACGCCGGCAGGACCGCGGAGACUGUUGAAGAAAUUAAGGCACAGAACAGCUAACUAAUUUCCCAUCUCUCAAGAUCUCAAAACUGAGUUUGACCCCAGGCUGCCAGUUUGCCAUCACAGAGAAGAAUCAGAAGUCAUGAAUCCCACCAGCC